GUGGCUAUAGUUCAGUUGGCUAGAACGCCAGAUUGUGGCUCUGGAGGUCGUCGGUUCGAGUCCGAUUAGCCACCCCA
rnacentral:tRNA from 12 species